GCCAGCAGCCAUAUCACCCUGAAGCUCAGCAGAUGUGAGCCUGGCCAGUACCUGGAUGGCAGACCUCCUGGGAUAACUAAGGUUGCUGCUGGAA
rnacentral:rRNA from 1 species